AAAGCAUGAUGUGGACACUUCCUCAUUAGCUCCUUGUACCUUUCCCAUGCCUCAUAUAAGGAUUCAUUGUCUUGCUGCAUGAAGGGGGUGAUCUCAUUCCUUAUUUU
rfam:Vigna angularis cultivar Jingnong 6 scaffold101_15, whole genome shotgun sequence.